rfam:Lepisosteus oculatus linkage group LG17, whole genome shotgun sequence.
GCCAUGCUUUAGCAGCACGUAAAUAUUGGAGUUAAACCACUUCAUAUCUCUCCAGUAUUGAUCGUGCUGCUGAAGUAAGAU